rnacentral:snRNA from 1 species
GGAUGUGAGGGCGAUCUGGCUGCGCCAUCUGUCACCCCACUGAUCGCCGGGGUUGAUGCGGCUGAUCGGGCUGGCUGGGCGGGUGUCCCCGUCCUCCCUCACCCCUCCAUGUGCUUCCCUCCCAAAGCUGUGUGCUGGGUCGAAGAGCACGACCUUCCCCGCUAGAGGAGGACCGGUCUUCGGUCAAGGGUGUACGAGUAGCUGCGGUCCCCUGCUAGAACCUCCGAACAAGCUCUCCGGAACAGGGCUCAGCAAAGAUGUCCCCAUUCAGAACUGCCCGAAGUUUGCAACUUCCAUAAAGAC